rnacentral:rRNA from 1 species
AUUGAACGCUGGCGGCAGGAUUAACACAUGCACGUCGAGCGAGCGGCGGACGGGUGAGUAAUGUCUGGGAAACUGCCUGCUGGAGGGGGAUAACUACUGGAAACGGUAGCUAAUACCGCAUACCAUCAGAUGUGCCCAGAUGGGAUUAGCUAGUAUGUGGGGUAAUGGCUCACCUAGGCGACGAUCCCUAGCUGGUCUGAGAGGAUGACCAGCCACACUGGAACUGAUGAACGGUCCAGACUCAUACGUUAGGCAGCAGUGGGGCAUAUUGCACAAUGGGCGCAAGCCUGAUGCAGCCAUGCCGCGUGUGUGAAGAAGUCCUUCGGGUUGUAAAGUACUUUCAGCUAGGAGGCGUUACUCGCAGAAGAAGCACCGGCUAACUCCGUGCCAGCAGCCGCGGUAAUAC